rnacentral:rRNA from 1 species
AUGGGAGCUUGCUCCCUGAUGUUAGCGGCGGACGGGUGAGUAACACGUGGGUAACCUGCCUGUAAGACUGGGAUAACUCCGGGAAACCGGGGCUAAUACCGGAUGCUUGUUUGAACCGCAUGGUUCAAACAUAAAAGGUGGCUUCGGCUACCACUUACAGAUGGACCCGCGGCGCAUUAGCUAGUUGGUGAGGUAAUGGCUCACCAAGGCAACGAUGCGUAGCCGACCUGAGAGGGUGAUCGGCCACACUGGGACUGAGACACGGCCCAGACUCCUACGGGAGGCAGCAGUAGGGAAUCUUCCGCAAUGGACGAAAGUCUGACGGAGCAACGCCGCGUGAGUGAUGAAGGUUUUCGGAUCGUAAAGCUCUGUUGUUAGGGAAGAACAAGUACCGUUCGAAUAGGGCGGUACCUUGACGGUACCUAACCAGAAAGCCACGGCUAACUACGUGCCAGCAGCCGCGGUAAUACGUAGGUGGCAAGCGUUGUCCGGAAUUAUUGGGCGUAAAGGGCUCGCAGGCGGUUUCUUAAGUCUGAUGUG